UACGUAGGGUGCGAGCGUUGUCCGGAAUUAUUGGGCGUAAAGGGCUCGUAGGCGGUUUGUCGCGUCGGGAGUGAAAACCUUGGGCUUAACUCAGGGCUUGCUUUCGAUACGGGCAGACUAGAGGUAUGCAGGGGAGAACGGAAUUCCUGGUGUAGCGGUGAAAUGCGCAGAUAUCAGGAGGAACACCGGUGGCGAAGGCGGUUCUCUGGGCCUGUACUGACGCUGAGGAACGAAAGCGUGGGGAGCGAACAGG
rnacentral:rRNA from 1 species